UAAGCGGAGGAAAAGAAACUAACAAGGAUUCCCCUAGUAACUGCGAGUGAAGCGGGAAAAGCUCAAAUUUAAAAUCUGGCAGCUGUAUGGCUGUCCGAGUUGUAAUCUAGAGAAGUGCUUUCCGCGUUGGACCGUGUACAAGUCUCUUGGAACAGAGCGUCAUAGAGGGUGAGAAUCCCGUCUUUGACACGGACUGCCAGUGCUUAUGUGAUGCGCUCUCAAAGAGUCGAGUUGUUUGGGAAUGCAGCUCAAAAUGCGUGGUAAAUUCCAUCUAAAGCUAAAUAUUGGCGAGAGACCGAUAGCGAACAAGCACCGUGAGGGAAAGAUGAAAAGAACUUUGGAAAGAGAGUUAAACAGUACGUGAAAUUGUUGAAAGGGAAACGCUUGAAGUCAGUCGCGUUGGCCAGAAAUCAACCUUCAAAGGUGCACUUUCUGGUUUUACGGGUCAGCAUCAAUUUUGAUUGUUGGAUAAAAGUCAAUAUUUAUGCAUCUUUGGAUGUAUAGCCUUUGGUUGCAUACAACAGUUGGGAUUGAGGAACUCAGCACGCCGCAAGGCCGGGUCUCUUUUGAUCACGCACGUGCUUAGGAUGCUGGCAUAAUGGCUUUAAUCGACC
rnacentral:rRNA from 1 species